GACGAAGGGGGCUAGCGUUGUUCGGAAUUACUGGGCGUAAAGCGCGUGUAGGUGGUUGUCCAAGUUGGAUGUGAAAGCCUUGAGCUCAACUCAAGAAAUGCAUUCAGGACUGGAUGGCUAGAGGACCGGAGAGGAUAGUGGAAUUCCCAGUGUAGUGGUGAAAUACGUAGAGAUUGGGAAGAACACCAGUGGCGAAGGCGGCUAUCUGGACGGUUUCUGACACUAAGACUCGAAAGCGUGGGGAGCAAACAGG
rnacentral:rRNA from 1 species